CCUACGGGUGGCAGCAGUGGGGAAUAUUGCGCAAUGGGCGAAAGCCUGACGCAGCGACGCCGCGUGAGGGAUGAAGGUCUUCGGAUCGUAAACCUCUGUCAGCAGGGAAGAACGGUCACUGUGCUAAUCAGCAGUGAAUUGACGGUACCUGCAAAGGAAGCACCGGCUAACUCCGUGCCAGCAGCCGCGGUAAUACGGAGGGUGCGAGCGUUAAUCGGAAUUACUGGGCGGAAAGCGCGCGUAGGCGGUAUGUCAAGGCAAGGGUGAAAUCCCCGCGCUCAACGUGGGAACUGCCUUUGAACCUGGCAAACUGGAGUGUGUGAGAGGCUAGUGGACUUCCAGGUGUAGGCG
rnacentral:rRNA from 1 species